GACGAACCGUGCGAACGUUGUUCGGAAUCACUGGGCUUAAAGGGCGCGUAGGCGGGUCGUUUAGUUAGAGGUGAAAGCCCAGGGCUCAACCCUGGAAUUGCCUUUAAUACUGGCGGCCUUGAGUAUGGCAGAGGUGUGUGGAACUCCGAGUGUAGAGGUGAAAUUCGUAGAUAUUCGGAAGAACACCAGUGGCGAAGGCGACACACUGGGCCAUUACUGACGCUGAGGAGCGAAAGCGUGGGGAGCGAACAGG
rnacentral:rRNA from 1 species